rnacentral:rRNA from 1 species
UUCCGGUUGAUCCUGCCGGAGGCCAUUGCUAUCGGAGUCCGAUUUAGCCAUGCUAGUUGCACGAGUUUAGACUCGUAGCAUAUAGCUCAGUAACACGUGGCCAAACUACCCUACAGACCGCAAUAACCUCGGGAAACUGAGGCCAAUAGCGGAUAUAACUCUCAGGCUGGAGUGCCGAGAGUUAGAAACGUUCCGGCGCUGUAGGAUGUGGCUGCGGCCGAUUAGGUAGAUGGUGGGGUAACGGCCCACCAUGCCGAUAAUCGGUACAGGUUGUGAGAGCAAGAGCCUGGAGACGGUAUCUGAGACAAGAUACCGGGCCCUACGGGGCGCAGCAGGCGCGAAACCUUUACACUGCACGACAGUGCGAUAGGGGGACUCCGAGUGUGAGGGCAUAUAGCCCUCGCUUUUCUGUACCGUAAGGUGGUACAGGAACAAGGACUGGGCAAGACCGGUGCCAGCCGCCGCGGU